CAAAGAAAUAUGGCUCUGAAGGUGACGGGGGCCCAGCUGGGCUGUCAGCAGUUCCAGCCUCAUUGACACCCGCCCUCUGGUUUGCACGGGUGGGCCUGGAUUUGCUGGGUUUCCUCUGGCUCGUCCUCUGGGCCGAGUUCGGCUCCCGGGCCCUUCCCCUCCUUGAGCUCCAUCUUCUGGAACCUCUGGACGCCAUCUCCCCCUCCGCCCCAGGCCUCCCGGACGCCCUCUAGGCAGGCGCUCCCCAGAGUGUCUUGUGUCCACCCUGACCCCACUCUGCAGGACCUGCUUCUCAUUCUGCACCGGACAUGGCACACAGCAUGGUCCUGGGAGGCUGGAGACAGCACUGAAUGAACUGGACACAGAUGCCUGCAGAUGCUCCCCGCCUGCCUGGCCUUGGCAGACAUCACUAAUCGAUCCUCUUUCCCACUGAAAGCAGGAUUCCCCCAGCACGGUGCACUGGCUGCCGGUCAGCACGUGAGGGGCACCAGCCUGUGAUUCCCAGGGAGGGACGGUGAACGGGGACUUGGAAGACCCCAGCGGGAGCCCCCUAGAUGGUUUAAGCUGUUUCCUCUCAAUCUCUUUCAACCAGUAUCUAUUGAGCCCCUACUGUGCGCCAGGUGCUGGGGACACAGCAGGGAGCAGGUGGGCACAUUGCCAGCCCUCGUGGGGCUGAUACUCUGCUGAGGGAGGUGGGCACACAAGGGAACAAAUGAGGAGAUAUUCCAGACUCGGAUGCGUGCUGCAGCCACUACCAGGGGAGUGUGGUGGAG
rnacentral:lncRNA from 1 species